rnacentral:rRNA from 1 species
CUAGCCUUAUCGGUGGAUCACUCGGCUCGUAGUUCGAUGAAGAACGCAGCUAAAUGCGAUAGCUAGUGUGAACUGCAGAAACUUUGAACACUAAAUAUUUGAAUGCAAAUUGCGCUUCGGAUUCACAUCCUCUGGCACGUCUGGUUCAGGGUCGUU